rnacentral:rRNA from 1 species
AUGCAAGGUAUUACGGCAGUAAACAGUUUGCUGUGGCUGGCAAUACAAACACUGCUUCUGAAGUUCAGGAAGCAGCAGAAGCUCAGUAGCUGCAGUAGUUGGUUUCUGAUUCAACUUAGUACUGGAGUAUGUGAGGAAGAACAGAGUUGUAGUCAACAAGUUAGAAGUCUUAUGCUCCUACAGUAUAAACUAAGUGAUCUUGGAGCACAUCCUUCCGGCUCAGAAAAUAUUUAUACUUCCUAA